GCGAGCACGCGCGUGUGGCAUAUCAAUAAGCGGAGGAAAAGAAACUAACAAGGAUUCCCUUAGUAACGGCGAGUGAAGCGGGAAGAGCUCAAAUUUGAAAUCUUCAAGGUUCUACCUUGACGAAUUGUAGUUUAUAGAAGUGUUUUCUGUUAGUAGGAGUGGCAAAAGUCUUUUGGAAUAGGACAUCAUAGAGGGUGAGAAUCCCGUAUUUGGUCAUUCCUUCUAGCUUUGUGAUACACUUUCAACGAGUCGGAUUGUUUGGGAAUGCAGUCCAAAAUGGGUGGUAAAUUUCAUCUAAAGCUAAAUAUUGGCGAGAGACCGAUAGCGAACAAGUACCGUGAGGGAAAGAUGAAAAGAACUUUGAAAAGAGAGUUAAACAGUACGUGAAAUUGUCAAAAGGGAAGCGUUUGACACCAGUGUUGUUUUUCCGAAAAUCAAUUACGAAUGUUUAUUUUUGAGGAGUUAUGACUUCAUCGGCUUGCUCCUUUCUUUAUGAAACUUUCUUAAUGCACUUUUCGGUUAACAAGUCAACAUCAAUUUCUUUUGUUGUAAAAGGGUAUGAGGAAGGUGGCUUUCUUUUCGGAGAAAGUGUUUAUAGCCUUGUGCCUCUAGCAAUCGGAGAGAUUGAGGUCUGCAGCGUAGAUCCUUCGGGGUUAGAUACGUUUGUGCUAAGUUAUAGCUUUUCAUAGACAACUUGUUGACUAUGUUUAGUCUUGUAGAUUACUCGCUAGAUGCUAUUUUACCUACGCUUAGGAUGUUGAUGUGAUACUGCGAGCA
rnacentral:rRNA from 1 species